UACUAAAGUAUAAAAUAACUUUAUGAAAUAAAGCAAAACGUGCGUUUUUCACAUUUUGUUAUAUAUUUCGUGAUCUACGUUACAGACAGUAGACUAUAUUAUUGUUGUACUGUGUGUGAUACAGAGUUUGUGUCUUAUUUAUUAAAGGUAAGUUUGAUGUCAAAAAUUAAAGGUAACGUUAAGUGGUUUAAUGAAUCCAAAGGAUUCGGUUUUAUCACUCCAGAAGAUGGUAGCAAAGAUGUUUUCGUACACUUUUCCGCCAUUCAGUCUAAUGGUUUCAAAACUUUGGCUGAAGGUCAAAGAGUCGAGUUUGAAAUCACUGAGGGUGCGAAAGGUCCAUCUGCUGCAAACGUUGUCCCAAUCUAAUUUCUAUCCCCGUAUUUUGAAAACCCGUUUAUUACAACGGGUUUUUUAU
rnacentral:other from 1 species